GACAAGACAACAAGAGAAGAGAAGACACGAUGAGAGACGAGACGAGCGUCUGCAGCUGUCGGCCGCUCGUCUCAUCAGUGAGAUCACUGCUCAUGUGGGUGAGAAGACUCCAGAUCAACUACCGUUUAUUCUGUUUUACAACAAACCAACAACAUUACAUAUGUGACCCGGGUGAGUCCAGGUGAGUCCAGGUGAGUCCAGGUGAGUCCAGGUGAGUCCAGGUGAAUCCAGGUGAGUCCAGGUGAAUCCAGGUGAGUCCAGGUGAGUCCAGGUGAGUCAGGGUGAGUCAGGGUGAGUCAGGGUGAGUCCAGGUGAGUCCAGGUGAGUCAGGGUGAGUCCAGGUGAGUCCAGGUGAGUCCAGGUGAGUCAGGG